rnacentral:lncRNA from 1 species
CUGGGUGACUUAUUUUAAUACUACAAUAUCAAGUAGCAGUACUUUUUUCCACAAACUUGACCGAAGUUAGAAGUUUGAUUUAGCACAAGACGAAGUGAACCAUAAUGCGCACAAUUGUGGAAAAUGCCUUCUCGAACUAUGAAUUACAGAAUUGGUUCAGAUUUGCCCUGACACCAAAUCAAAAAUAAACUGAUUUUGAAUUACAGAAUUGUCAUGGUAAAUUAUCAUAACAGACAAAAAUCACCUCUGAUUGAUAAGACACUGUAACCUCAUGGAUGUCUACGCAUUAGCUCUCCAAUUCCGAAACUGACAGAUCGAUCACCAGCUGCCAGAGAUUUAGAUCGUGAGAACUUUCCCCAAAAUAACCAUGGACUACACACUGCUGCAAAAUGAAAAGCAUCAUCUACAAAUAAGCUUGUAAAUUUACUCUUUCAUGGCUGAGGCAUUGAUUAGAUAGUUGGCUGGUAACAAUUUGUAAGGCUCAGAUCGAUAUGCGCAGGAAAAAAAACUCCAAUAACAGGAAACACUAUUACUGCUACAGGCCUUUAGUUUCAUACAAGAAUGCGCUAUAGCAGUACAAAUGAUUGCCGUGAAUGAAUCUUUAAUCCAGCUACGAUUUAGUUCCCCAAAGACACCGACAGUGAUGUACAGACCAUUUAUGGAAGGUAUUUCAUAAAAACGACUGUCCAGGCCACCAGAUUCAUCAGAAACUCGUAAACUGCCGAACUAGGCUGUUCCUGCUCCUAACGUUCACAGUGAACACAUAUUAGAACCACAUAUUAGAUGAUAGAUAUGGUUCUGGAUUGUUUCAGAAAUAUACCUUCUAGAACUUCUUAGCUAGAUAGAUAGCACAUAUCAUGGAGGCAAAACUCAGCAGCACAGAUCAGUUAGCAAACGAGAGGAACACUAUCUGGGAUGGUUACCUGAGAAGGGUGGUGAUGGUUACCUAAGAAGGAUGCAAGGCGACAACUUCAUGAGAGCUCGUGUGGUUCAAUCAGUGGGAGGAGCAACAUGCAGCAGAGAUCAGAGGGCGAAGUUCUAAUAAGUUGACCUUGUGCUGUUUCACUGAUUGAAUGAUUAUAUCCCCCAAUAAAGUAUAGUAUUGACUCCUAACUAAUCUUAGCCUUUGCAGUAACUUAUGAGCCAUGACCUAAACAUGCAGGCUAUGUUCCUCAUGAUAAGAAAUAGCUCGUUCCCAUGUGAACUGCGCACACAUGGACAGGUUUUCACACAAAUGACCAAAAAAGUACAGCCACACUCAUGAUAGUAAUUUCGUAUGUCUCUCUAUUUGUUUAAUCAACCAAGAUUCAUCAAGGUCAGGGCACACAAUUAGGAUUUGUGACCAUUAAUGCCAAGGCUGGCUGCCCCAGUAUCGACACAAUAUUUGUAGAAGCACCAUGUACUCCCACCCCUCUAAAUGAACUUGGGAACAUUCGGUCGAAUAUAUAUAACAUACUACACCACCACAGCAGCAGCAACGGCAACAAUUCGUUGCAAACUGGUUACUUGUUGGUCAAACCCAUCCUAGUUUGCCAGCAAUUUGAGCAAAAUAACAAAGCUAACAAUUCAGGAUGUUGCACCGUGAUAGCUCUAUAGGGUUGGUGAGUCUGAUCAUCAGACACUAAAGAACAGUGUCAAACAAGAAAGGAAGGUUAAAAGACAAGAAACAAAAGAUCAGAAAACACAAAUUGUAUAGGAACUACCAAAAUGGAUCAGUGCUGCACCCUGAAUGGCGAUUAUAGCUGCGAUGGCCCCAAAGGUAGUAAUUGUGAAAACACAAUGCCCUCCUAAGUUCAAACUCACCCUGCUCCAACUGGAGUACAUGAUCUAACAUCUCAUGAAAUUACUGCGAUAAAUUCUGGGACGAACAAUAACCAAAAGUAUCCAUCAUGCAAACCAAGGCCAACACAAACACUCAGCAGAAUCAACGGCGGAAAUUAGGAAACGUUUCGGCCUAAAAAUGAACAAAAUUCAAGUGCGAAUACAUUAUGUUAAGACAAACGCAACAAAAGGGGGAAACUUUUUGAAUACAUGUUAUACAACAAAACAUGAAACAACAUAUCGGACUUCAUUUUUCCUUUCCUUUUCUUUCAUGAUCUUUUUUUGGGUGGGGUGUGGGGGGGCUCAGCUUCGCCUUUGCUCAUUCAUUCGACUGUAUCCUCAUCAACUCUGAUCACCGGUUCAAUUUGUUCUGAUAAGUGGACCUGCCCUGGUUAUCACCCAUGAAGAAUGGCAUGACCAUCCACGGACAAAACCACCUCAAUUAGAACAUAAUUAAAAAGGUUUCAAAAAUAAGAGGAUUCCAGUUUGGUUCCCAUAGCAGCCUUGAUUGCUCAAAGGCGCUUAUGUCAGCCAUGGUUGUUGAUCAUUGCCCCAGGUGAGAAUAAAUUUUAUCUUCUUCGUUCUUGACGAGCACUUCAGUAGGAACUUAUGAGAUGGAAGUGAACUAACUUGGCAUAUUAUUAGUCCCACUAACAAUGACCCAUAUUCAAAUACAGCAGGAAGGCAAGUGAAGAGCAACCUAUAGAACAAACAGAAUAGAAGAUUCCAGGAACCAGCUCAGAAGAUGCUAGAAUGCAGAAGUUCUCAAAUGAAAAGUCCAAUCAUCACUACCACUCAAUGACUCAAUAGUACAAAACAAAAAAGGAAGCCAUAACUCAUAAGGCAUCAUGAUAUAAACCAUAAAAAUCUUUUGUAUAUGUAAACACCAGAAAAAAGUGAAACAUGUCCCACUUGUUUGCAAAAAGCAUGGUGGGGGAAGAGAUAAGAGGAUGUAGUUUCGGGCCUGUUUGGAACGCAGAUUUCCCCAUAUGUUCUCCAGACCACCACGCUGGCAGCCCAAUCCACCAACCAUAGCCUAAAUGAACCCCAACUCAAUUCCCACCCCUUGCUGCUGCCAUGGACCCACUGGCAGCUGCUAUAGAGCCUCCAUGCCAAUGUGUCAUGACACAGAAAGGGAGGCCCUAGAGAAGUGGAGGUCCCAGGUGGCUGUUGGCUAGGUGGAGGAAUGAGGGCAAUGGAGGAUAUAAAAUUACAAUGAAACAAAUAAAAAAACAUCGAUUACAGGCUAGAUCCCAUAUCACCUAAUAAAACCCGAACCAGAAGCCAAAGCAAACCCACUCCAUGGUUCCCAAGCAUCCCCAUCUGAUCAGCUUCAUAAAGUCAACAUGAUGGUUGAUGGAGCAGGAAGGAUGGCACCAGGAAGCACAGGUCCAAGAGAGACCAGUGAUCCUAGCUUGCUGGCAUUUGGGCCUCUUUGGAAUGUAAGAAUUGUACAUGAAUCUAGCACGAAUUUCAGGUCCCCUUUGGAAUGCAGUGCUUUUUUCCUGAAACCCACAUUUCUCCUGUGAAAAAAAACGCUGAUUUCUGCAAUAUUCCUGUAUUCCACUAACAAAUUCCUAUAAAUAAAUCAGUUCAAAUUCACAUGAAAAACAAAGUAUUUGGACUGAAUGGGUGGAAGAAAGAUUUGAAUUUCGUUUACAACCGAAAUAAAUCUUAGAGCAAGAAAAUCAUUAUUGUUCUUUGAUGCUGCUGCUGGCUGCUGUGACAUAGUAAGAUAACUUCAAUUUCAACAUCAACAUGCCCCUAAUGCCAAGUUCUGACAUCAGCACCUAAGCAAUUUUUUCUUGGUUGGAAAACUUUGAAGUGAAGAAUAGUUGAAAAGACAGAAAGAAAAAAAAGAAGGGCUCAGCAUCACCUUUGCUCAAUCAUAGAAAUCAAGCCCUAUCUUCUCUUGAUGCACAAUUUACCAUCCUAAUGUAAAUGGCACUGCGCUGGUUGUCACACAUAUCCAAAUGACCUUCCUAGGCAGAACCACACAAAAAAGGGAUGAUUAAAUGUGCUUCAAGUGGGGAGAGGGUCAGCUCUAAUUAGAUACCCCCGGCUGCUUUAAUUGCUCAAUGGCAUGCAAUUGGAAAAGGUAAACAUCAUCACGCUUUUGUACUUCCUUUCUCUCUUUACAUUUGCAUUGGGAACCCUGUCCUGCUUAUUCCCUUCCCACAUCCACCUACACGUUGAAUUGAAUCCAUUUUCCCAAGAUUGGGAGUUGAGAGCAGUUAUUUUCAAUCUUACCAAAAAAACUCAAGAUCAGGAUUAGUUUUUGGAAACUCUUGGAGAUGCUCAGUAGGCAUAAUAAUGCAUACACUUACAAGCUUAAGGGGGUGUUUGGUUUUUAGGGACUAAUGUUUAGUCCCUUCAUUUUAUUCUUUUUUAGUUUAUAAAUUGCUAAAUAUAGAAACUAAAAUAAAGUUUUAGUUUCUAUAUUUGACAAAUUUGAAACUAAAAUGGAAUAAAAUGUAGGGACUAAACAUUAGUCCCUAGAAACCAAACACCCCCUGAGUUAGGAUUUGGUGCUGAGGGCCUGUUUGGUUGCGCUCCUGCUCCGGCUCCGCCGGCACCUCCAGCACCGGAGCCACAGAGUCGCCCCAAACACGGCCUCAGUUUCGCACAGCAGGAAGGGAAGAAACGGGGUUGGCACACCUGGUGGGUGCUCGUCGCCAGUAAAGUGCCCAGUUAAGACCUGGCGAAGGGCCUAACAAAGACAUGGGCACCUGGCGUAGAUAGAUAGAGAGAAAGAGAGAGAGAGGGGAGGGGGGGAGGGAGGGGGGAGAUUAAAGCCAAGCGAAGAAAAGGCAAAGAUGAACGGAAACAUCCUGAGCACAGCACAGUCAACAGCAGGGGGAGGGAGGUCACCACUGCUGCGCCGCCGCCAUUGCGUUGCAUGGUCCAUCGAUCCAUCAGGAGUGACGAAUGAGGGCAGCCCUAGCAGACCAAACCCGACUCGUAAGCCGCGUCAGGCACCACCGCACGGUUCCCAUCCCUUACCGCCACCAAUGCCAGGCAAUGGAACGGCGGCGAGGCGGCACCGUAGUGACGGCGGUGUGAAACGAUGGCCGAAACGAAGAAUGGUCCGUGCACACCCUCGAUUCGAUCUAGGGUUUGGGUUCAGGGGGUGUGCAAAGUUCUUUAGUCGCUCAUAUGGAAUUUCGAACAGUAUUGGUUGGAUGUAUAAUGUGGUGGCCACAGUCUAUAGUGUGUUUGAUAAAAG